rnacentral:rRNA from 1 species
AUUGAACGCUGGCGGCAGGCCUAACACAUGCAAGUCGAGCGGGAGCGGGAAAGUAGCUUGCUACUUUUGCCGGCGAGCGGCGGACGGGUGAGUAAUGCCUGGGAAAUUGCCCGGUCGAGGGGGAUAACAGUUGGAAACGACUGCUAAUACCGCAUAUGCCCUACGGGGGAAAGCAGGGGACCUUCGGGCCUUGCGCGAUUGGAUAUGCUCAGGUGGGAUUAGCUAGUUGGUGAGGUAAUGGCUCACCAAGGCGACGAUCCCUAGCUGGUCUGAGAGGAGGAUCAGCCAGACGGGAACGGAGACACGGUCCAGACUCCUACGGGAGGCAGCAGUGGGAAUAGUGCACAAUGGGGGAAACCCUGAUGCAGCCAUGCCGCGUGUGUGAAGAAGGCCUUCGGGUUGUAAAGCACUUUCAGCGAGGAGGAAAGGUUGAUGCCUAAUACGUAUCAACUGUGACGUUACUCGCAGAAGAAGCACCGGCUAACUCCGUGCCAGCCGCCGCGGUAACAC